UNUGUUUUGUGACUUGCGUUUGCCUCCA
rnacentral:piRNA from 1 species